CAAUUUGGGCUUCGAACUGCCAACCUGAAAAAUGUAUAAGGUGAAACAAAACCAAAUGAUCUAGCGAGCCAAUUAGCAGGGAUCUUUUUAAUAAUAGUUAAUAUAGUAGACGCUUGAAAUUCAAACACUGACAGCCUCUCUUGCUGACAAAAAGAGUUCUUCGAAAAGAGUUCUUCUCCCUGUUUCUUGAUUUGUUUUCAUAGACAAAACAAGGAGCCGAGACAGACGAAGAAGAAGAACACGAACUCAUCGUAUUUCUCGUUGUGAGAUUUUUCAAACUUGUUUUUCUUUUUUUUGGCCAAUUUUACCGCUAAAUUUGAUAAUCGCCAAAAUUAAGAGAAAAUCCUCUGUUCCUCCAUAAUUUUUUUGUCCACUUUCUUGAUUAAGUUUUGAAACGAUGACUGAAAGAGGAUCAAUUUUCAAAAACUGUGAAUAGAUAUGACAACAGGUUUAAAGAAGAUGAUGUGAUUAGGAAGAACCAACAGUUAAAAGAGGUGGUGUAGAGUCAGCGUCAAACACAACUUGGUGGCAUGUUCAUCCCUCUUAUGUAGCGAGAUCAUCUUAUCUUAUGUGAGAAAAUACUCAAGGCUCAUCACCAUUUCAGUAUUAUCUACAAAGAAAUCUUAUUGGAUAAUGAAGUCAAUCCCACUACUCGAAUUUACCAUGAUGUGAGGAUGAUACUCAAGCAACAGAAUAUGUGUGUCAACACAGAACAUGUGUGUCAACAUAGAUUAUAGAAUUGGAGAUGUUUCUGGAAUCCAAGUUGGGUUGGACUUCAUUUUGGAAUGAUGAACAGUAUAGACUAUGAAGAAAGUCGUCAAAAAUUGUUUUGGAGACCACUAUUGUUGUUUCAGAAGGAAUCGAGUACAAUUACAUGUUCAAGUUUGAUGAACUGAUAUACUCUUGGAUAGGGAAGAUAAAGAGAUUUAAAGAAUGUUUCAUUCAUAAAACUUUUUAAUGUUCAAAUUAAAAGAAUCAAAUAUAUAUAAUAUUUUUAUUUAGUCUUUUUAUCCAAAUUAAAAUAUAAAAGAAUGAAUAAUAGUAAUCUAUGUAAGGCAUUUAAGUAUUUAUGAACUUUUUGUUAAUAAAUAUAUUGAUUAAGUGUAAUGAUCAAGUAGUUAUCACUUUUAUGAGAAAUUAUGUUUCAAAUAACAUUUGAAUGACGAGGAAGAUAAAUCUAGUCUGUUGUAGUGUAUUUUUAUUGCAUUUGAUUUCUAUUGAUUGCUUCUAAUGUUUUUUUCACAACAUUGCCUCUAAUGUUUUUAUUUCCGUUUCAUUAAGCAUUCAUCAUUAUCAUUAUGAUUACUAAUUAUAUGAAUUAUUGUUUGGAAUAUUUGUGUAUGAACUAAAAAUAUGAAGUGUGAAUUUGUAAUGAACUAUUAUAUAAAUUUUCAAGGAUCAGUUGUUCUUGAUAAUGUUUUCAGAACGGUUCUUUAACCAAAUUGGAAAAGUUUUUGAGUCAUGGAUCAAUAUAAUUUAACGGGGUGUAACCAUAUUCAAUUAGCUUAAUUCAACUAAAUAUUGGCAUUUUUUUAUUUAUGUUUCAACAAAAAAAUUAAACAUGAUUGAGUUUAUCUAUUAAAAUUUUCAAUAAAAUAACUUAAAUGCAAACUAAAUGGAAAGCGAACACAAAAAUUGGUAUGUUAUGAGUCAAAGAUUUAUACUUGUAAGUUACAAAAUUCAGAAAAAAUCAAACAUUAUAAGAAGCAUAGGAGUUUUUAUUUGUAGCUUCCUUUUAGUAAUCCAAUUAGAUUAAUUGGUUAUAAAGACUAAAUAGUUGAUAAAAUUGAUUUUUGGCAGUGAGUUACAAACGGCCUCUGUUUUAUUUGGUUCAUUAGUUUGAUGGUUUCUGGUUUGUAGUGGUUGGAUAUGGUUUUCUCGGUCAAUUUUUUGGGUUUUCUUAUCUAUCCAAUCUAGAUAAAUUUUUAGUUUAUGGCUUAACAUGGUCUCACCACCGGUCCGGUUUGGGUUGAAAAACACUUGUUCGUAUUAAAUUGAUUAUAAGCUAUUAAAAAUUAUAGGCUAGUCCAACAAUUAAUACAUUUUCUGAAAAUCUUUGAAACCAUCUAUCUUGGUGGCAAGGUCCUUUCUGUUUUACUACCCUUUUUGAUUUUCGAAAUUGAUUCCCAUUAUUAAAUCGGGAUGUGAGUAAAGCUAGAGUCUUUGUUUCUGGGUUUAUCUUAAAACUUGCUUGAAUUUUCUAGGGGUUGUUGAGACAGCUUGUCUUAUGGCCUCUGAUGGUUAUAGCGGAGAGGCUUUUUUAUUCAUUUUGAUGGUAAAGGGUGGCAUGUAAUGAGGUUUCUCUACCAUUUUGAUUCCAGAUGAGCGUGUGGCUACUGAGCUAAAGAAAGCCAUCAUGCAAGCCUGCACUGAGAAGAAGCUUACCCAGUCCCAACUUGCUCAAGUUUAGGGAAGAAUGGUGAGCUGGUGAGAAAAUCGAGUGGGAACAGGAGCCCUAAGUCGAUUGUUGAACCAGCAAAGUAUGUAGAGAAGCCAGCCAAAUGGGGGAAUCAGAAGGUUGCUCCACAAAACAUCCACCAGCCUCGUUGAAGUGGGGAUUGUGUUAACUAGUCAGGGUAUGUUGUAUCUUUAGCCACUAUACCUUUGUAAUUUUUAGUAUUUGCUUUCAACAAGAGAACAUGUGCACACACAUAUAACAACAACAACAAGAAAACAAUGUUUUAAUUUUUUUUUAAAAACCUUUAAUUAAGAGACUAGCAUUGGAGCAUAAAAAUAUUAGUCUCUUAAUUUGGUUUCUUAAGUAAUAUUAAUUAUUUAAAAAUGA